CAGAUAGUGGAAGUAAAAAGUCCCACCAAGCAGAGCAAGCACGACAAAAGCAUGGAGUGUGAUAAGGUUUACCUGGAUGAGCUGGUGGAGCUGCAUAAAAGACUAAUGACACUAAGAGAAGGUCACAUACUGCAACAGAUUGUAAACCUGAUUGAAGAGACCGGACACUUCCACAUUACAAACACUACGUUUGACUUUGACCUUUGCUCUUUGGACAGAAGUACAGUAAGGAAGCUGCAGAGCUAUCUCGGGACGUCCUGAGGCACACAGCGGUUGGGUGCUGGAUCCGAGCCUCUGACUCGUCCUGUAUCAGUUCCAGCUGUAGUUGGCGUGUCUAAACCUCACAGUGGGUCCAGCCUGCUGCUUCGACCCCCCUGAACAAAGAGUUCACCCUGCUGCAGAAAUCGGGGGUAGAUGUACGAGAUCAGGACGUCAGCAGGCAACAAUCUGAAAACUUGAUAUGAAGGGUUGGUGGGUGGGAGUGAUUCUGCUGCCAUGUAUGUUGUUGUUUAUCGUGACAAGUGCACGAUCAACUUUGCCUUACAACAUUGUACGUCUUAUUUAUUAAAUUUAAUUUGCAGGUGUG